rnacentral:rRNA from 1 species
CCUGAUGUUAGCGGCGGACGGGUGAGUAACACGUGGGUAACCUGCCUGUAAGACUGGGAUAACUCCGGGAAACCGGGGCUAAUACCGGAUGGUUGUUUGAACCGCAUGGUUCAAACAUAAAAGGUGGCUUCGGCUACCACUUACAGAUGGACCCGCGGCGCAUUAGCUAGUUGGUGAGGUAACGGCUCACCAAGGCAACGAUGCGUAGCCGACCUGAGAGGGUGAUCGGCCACACUGGGACUGAGACACGGCCCAGACUCCUACGGGAGGCAGCAGUAGGGAAUCUUCCGCAAUGGACGAAAGUCUGACGGAGCAACGCCGCGUGAGUGAUGAAGGUUUUCGGAUCGUAAAGCUCUGUUGUUAGGGAAGAACAAGUACCGUUCGAAUAGGGCGGUACCUUGACGGUACCUAACCAGAAAGCCACGGCUAACUACGUGCCAGCAGCCGCGGUAAUACGUAGGUGGCAAGCGUUGUCCGGAAUUAUUGGGCGUAAAGGGCUCGCAGGCGGUUUCUUAAGUCUGAUGUGAAAGCCCCCGGCUCAACCGGGGAGGGUCAUUGGAAACUGGGGAACUUGAGUGCAGAAGAGGAGAGUGGAAUUCCACGUGUAGCGGUGAAAUGCGUAGAGAUGUGGAGGAACACCAGUGGCGAAGGCGACUCUCUGGUCUGUAACUGACGCUAAGGAGCGAAAGCGUGGGGAGCGAACAGGAUUAGAUACCCUGGUAGUCCACGCCGUAACGAUGAGUGCUAAGUGUUAGGGGGUUUCCGCCCCUUAGUGCUGCAGCUAACGCAUUAAGCACUCCGCCCGGGGAGUACGGUCGCAAGACUGAAACUCAAGGAAUUGACGGGGCCCGCACAAGCGGUGGAGCAGUGGUUUAAUUCGAAGCAACGCGAAAACCUUA